AAUAGAGCCUUUAAGAACAUUCCUAGGAUGCUCUUAUUCUGAUAAGCUUCUUCUCUCCCUCUUUUUUUUUUUUUUUAAAUUCUUGAUAUAUAAUUUAAACAACAUUUGGAAUCUAGUGAGAGUCUGGUAGGAUUAAGGUCCAAAUAAGCUAGAGUGCUAGUUGGCGCUGUUUAAAGGACUCAAGUGACCAAAGGCUUGAGUUUUGUGCUCCUGAAGCUGGAACCAGGUUAGCAUAAAGACUAGAGUAACAGGCCAAACACACUAUCCUCUGAACCAGGGACUGGUGGUGCGGCAUGCUGCAUUGCCUGGCAGAGGGUCAUCGCGUUCCGCUAAUGGUGGGAAGUCAGCUCAGUUGGCAGGGAGUGGGAUGGGGAUCCAAAUGAAAGAGUAUAGGAAAGUAAAUCUCUCUCUCUUCACACAGUGCUUUUUUCUUAUUCAUAAAAUACAUUAUAAUGACACCAUUAUUUAAACCUAGUGUCCAUGCAGCAGCCUUUAUCUGCAUUCAUAUGUAUGCCAUGUAUUAAACACAGUUAUUGUUGGGCAUUUGAACUUUUUCUUUCAUAGGAAAUAAUGCCUCUAUUAGACGUCUUUGAAAAUGG